UACUCAUCCAAACUUGAAUGUGCUGCAAAUAACGUGAAAAGGAAAAGACAGUUCAAACUUGGUUUUAUUAAUGACGAGUAAAGAAUAGGUAAAUCCCCCAAAUCCCAAAUUUUCCAAGGAAAACUCUUAAUCAAGAUCAUUCCCAUAAUUAAAAUUCCCUCUUAGUUUGAUUCUUUACUUUCAACAAACCAAACCAGCAUCAAAGAAGAAAGAGCAAAACAGAAAGUCACAACAUAUCAUACAUUGAAAGAAACGAGGAACUGGAAGGAAAAAAAAAA
rnacentral:misc_RNA from 1 species